CCACGUGAGCGUCGCCUUUCUUUCCUCCCCAUUUUUCUCUCUCUGGCGUCACUCAUGUGUCAGACUGUCAGGCGCACUCCGCCUCUCCUCUCUCCGUCGCUGGGCAGCUGGGCUUCUCUCCCGACUCCCGAGCAGCCGAGCUCCCCCUGCUCGGCCUCGCCUCCGCCGCGAACCGCGCCUCCGGCUCCGCCUGCUCGGGCGGGCGGCACCCAGCUCCCUGCAUCUUCGCUGCGGCGAGGGUACACGAUGGAGGGAGCUGGAAGAGAUGCCAACCCUUUGGGCGGUUACCGAAUUGGCAAAACCCUAGGAAUCGGGUCGUUCGGUAAAGUGAAGAUCGCGGAACAUAUAUUGACUGGCCAUAAGGUGGCAAUCAAGAUCCUCAAUCGCCGUAAGAUCAGAAGCAUGGAAAUGGAAGAGAAAGUGAAGAGAGAAAUCAAGAUACUGAGAUUAUUUAUGCAUCCUCAUAUCAUACGCCUUUAUGAGGUGAUAGAUACACCUGCUGAUAUUUAUGUUGUUAUGGAGUAUGUUAAAUCUGGAGAGUUGUUUGAUUACAUUGUUGAGAAGGGAAGACUACAUGAAGAAGAAGCCCGGCGCUUUUUUCAGCAGAUCAUAUCUGGUGUUGAAUAUUGCCAUAGGAACAUGGUUGCUCACCGUGAUUUAAAGCCAGAGAAUCUUCUUUUGGAUUCGAAAUGCAACAUUAAGAUUGCUGAUUUUGGCUUAAGUAAUGUUAUGCGUGAUGGUCACUUUCUUAAGACGAGUUGUGGUAGCCCGAAUUAUGCAGCACCUGAGGUCAUAUCUGGUAAACUAUAUGCUGGUCCUGAAGUUGAUGUCUGGAGCUGCGGCGUUAUUCUUUAUGCUCUUCUUUGUGGCACUCUUCCAUUUGACGAUGAGAAUAUUCCAAACCUUUUUAAGAAAAUAAAGGGUGGAAUAUAUACCCUUCCUAGUCAUUUGUCACCUUCAGCGAGGGACUUGAUUCCUAGAAUGCUGGUUGUUGAUCCGAUGAAAAGGAUUACAAUACGUGAAAUCCGUGAACAUAUGUGGUUCAAAAUUCAACUUCCGCGCUAUUUGGCUGUACCGCCUCCAGACACUGCCCAACAAGUUAAGAAGCUGGACGAGGAAACCCUUAAUGAUGUUAUUAAGAUGGGUUUUGACAAGAAUCAGCUAAUUGAAUCUCUGCACAACAGAUUGCAGAAUGAGGCAACAGUUGCCUAUUAUUUACUCAUGGACAAUAGGCUUCGUACAACCAGUGGUUAUCUUGGAUCUGAGUUUCAAGAAUCUAUGGACCCAUCUUUCUCUCAAGUACAUGCUGAAACACCAACUUCAGCAACUGAACAUCGGCAGCAUGUGUUUACAGAAUCUCCGGGGUCUGGUUUGAGGCAGCAUUUUGCAUCUGAAAGGAAAUGGGCCCUUGGUCUUCAGUCUCGAGCACAUCCACGAGAAAUAAUAAGUGAAGUGCUUAAAGCACUGCAAGAACUGAAUGUUUACUGGAAAAAGAUUGGACACUACAACAUGAAAUGCAGAUGGAGUCCUGGCUGCCUUGAGAGUAUGAUGCAUAACUGUGAUGGCUUUAGUGCAGAGUCUGCUAUAAUUGAAACUGAUGAUCUCAUAGCGAAAUCAACCCGUAUAGUGAAGUUUGAGAUUCAGCUUUACAAAACGAGGGAUGAGAAGUACCUUCUUGACCUGCAAAGGGUCAGUGGACCACAACUCCUCUUUCUGGACUUGUGUUCCGCCUUUCUAACGCAGCUGAGAGUUCUUUGAGCCUGAUGACAUGAUUGGCUUCCCAAGCACAAUCCUUGAUGCACCCCAUGGACUUUCAAAUUACAUUCGUGCUGUACAUAAUGGCCAUAUAUAAUCCUCCGGUAGAUUAUAUUUUCUGGAGCAUGUGGACCGUACAGGUAUUGUAAGAUGCAUCUCCAGAGGAUUUAUGAGAAAGGGCACACGUGCAAGCACAACAACGGAAGAGAUUAGGGCAGCAAAUAACUGAAUCUGUGCUCUAGCUCAACAGCACGAGGACAUACGUAAUGUACAUGGGUCAGCAUAUGAUUUUACUUUUUACAGUAGGAAAUGCUAGAAAAGACUUAGCUAGCCUAAACUAUAAUGUACAGCGGCAACACCGAUGGUGUGGUAUCAGUAAUUCUCGGGUGCAUAAGAAGCUGAAUCAAGCUGCCCCAUCUGCUCAGUGAUCUGAUCAACAUUGUCCUGGAGACGAGGACAGCAGCGGUCUACGGCAGUCUUCACAUCCUCUUUUGCUUCUAUUGCCUCGCUUUUACCCUCGGCGGCGUCUGUGAGAAACCGCUCCCAGAAUACAUCGUUCACUUUGGCCGGCACAUGGGAACCUCCAGUUUCACUGGUGGUAUCAUCUUGCGAGGUGUCGCCGGUUGUGGUGUCAGAGUUCAUAUCGACUCCAGCAGCUGUCCUAUGGGCAUGUUCAUGGAGCUGUGCCAUCGGCAGCAUCGGGCUCUGGGCGUAGUAGCUCGGGGGUUCUGCCAACGGAGAAGACGACUGGUCUUGCCCUGAGGUCGAAGCGAAGGGGUUCUGGCAAGCUGAUGGCUGCAGAUCGAUCUCGGUAUCCAUUGGUGCCGAGAGCAUCUCGCCUAGAGCCAGAGCAGGGCUGGGUUCAGCAACACCAGCGGCGUACAACAUGCCUUGAGCAGCAGACGUAUGCGCUGUUGCCCUCUGCAAGAAACUCUCCAGCGACACCAGGGCCAGCUCCAUCUUCUCAAACGGCUCGGCGCUCAGAAGGCGGAUCGGAGACAUGCCUGGCGUCUCCGCGCCCACCGUCUGCAGGAACGGCACCUGCUGUUCUUCGACCUUGGGUUCGUCGACGAAGAAGUCCAUCUUCGGAACCCUCCUCUUCUUGCUGAAGUGGUCCGCCCCCGUCGCCGACCCCCACGAAACGACCCCGUGUCCGACCGGCAGCAGGAUGUCGCGCAGGGAGGCCACGAUGUUCCUCUGGCGCUCCUCCAUCUGCGCCAGCCUGCGUUCCAGCGACUGCAUCUGCCAGCUGAUCCCGCACCGCUGCUGGCUCUGCCUCUGGAGGUCCGUCAGGAGCAGGCUCUUCUCGUACUUGAGCCUGCUGAUCUCGUCCUCGAGCUCGCGCCUCUCCGACUCCGCCAGUGGGCCGUUCACCUGGGUCUGCGGCGAGUGGCUGUGCACCGGCUUGCGCCGGUGGAUGUUCUUCAGGAGGUGCGUGUGCCCCCUAACGAAGUCGUCGUUGGCGAACUCCCAUCUCUCGGGAUCGAUCUUUCGGAAACCCUGGAAGUGAAGAACCAAGUUAGCAGCAGGCGGAAAGUGAGGACAGACAUGAGGAGUGAGGACCAGCUGUUAAAAACAGCCGCCACUUUUAAAACAUGGGCUUCCUACUAUACAGAAUAGGAACAGAGCAGAGAGCACACAGAAUCCCGUGCAAAAAAAAUCAAGAACCAACUUUGAAUUGAAUGCCCGUAAUGCUCCUGUUGCUAUUUGGGUUAUGAGACAAAUACGUCUCUCUUCAUGAAUAGACGACUCCACGAUCAGGUGCGCUGGUGCCAACUGAACAUGCGAAAAAUGCCGAGGAAAAAGGCACAUCGUCUUGAGGAAGAUAGCAGACAGGAAAUGGCAAGAAAUAGACGCGCAACAGCAACAUGUCACACGCACACAGAGAGAGAGAUUGAGAGAGGGAGAUUUAGAGGCACUCACGUAUGUGUUGAGCUGCCUGAUGAAGCUGGAGAAGUUGUUGUGCUUGAAGUACUUGGGCAGCAGGUCCCGUGAGAAGUCCGGCGGGUUCCACACCACGAAGCUUGCGCCGCCGGGGCCCCACGACACGACGUGGUUGGUCGCCGGGUCCUCCACCAUCUCGUAGGUCUUGAUGAGGAACGGCGGCGGCUGCGAGCUGGAAUUGGAACCCUCCAUGCCGGCCAUGCACCUCCUCCUGUCUCUCCUCCGACUGAUGAUGGGCGAAGAAUUAACUAACCGACGCUCCCCCAACUCUGUCUUACCCACCGGAAUGGCUCGCACUCAACCGCAGCGAGAAAAAUUCUCGCCAAGCUGCCGCAAGGACGA